ACCCGAGCCUGAAACCGAAUUCACUCAGUGACUUCACGCACGGAUUGAAUCGAAGAAAAAAUUCGAAAACUGAAGUCUGAAGGUGAAACCCUAGCCGGCUAUCCUCUUCGCUCUUCCCUCUUCUCGUCAGUGUCGUCACUCUCCGUUCCAGUUAGGUUCAGGCAUCGGCUGAUUCGCUCUUCCCUCUAGCGGCCGAUGCGUUGAGGAUCGCCUUUUCUAGAUUUGUUGAAUUUGAAUUUGGAAGAUCUUGAUAUGGGUGAUGAGGCUGAAGAUAAUAUUGAUGGAGGGAAUGUCAAUGACCAAGUCCAAGAGAAUAUAUUUUUUGAAGCUCCUGAAGCACCAAAUGAUGUUGCAGCUGAAGGCAAUAUUCGUGAAAAUUAUGGUGGAAAUUGGAGUGCAUGGAAUUGUUGAUAAAAUUACCUCUGCUGUCAAAUAUUUUGUCGUGGUUUUUCUUUGAUGGUUUUAUAUUUUCUGCAAGUUAGAUCGACUUGUUUCUUUGGUUUUCUAAUGAGACAGUUAUAUGUACUUCCGCAAUGAUAUUUUCUGCAAGUUAUAUGGUUUUCUUGGGAGUGGGUUAAUAGCGAACAUGCAUCAUGGUUGGUUUU